UCUCUCUCUCUUUCUCUCUCAUUUUUCAGGUUAUUUACUCAAUAACUACUCUCCCCCUCUCUCUUCCCAGUUAAGCUACAGCAAAUUGCUAAAAGAUAUGAUAGAACUCCACCCAAUACAAGUUUUUAUAAUCGAUCUUCAAAGCUCAAUGUAAAAUGUGUGGUAACAGGGUGAAAAUGGAACUUCUUCUCCCCAAGUUUUUAUUUUCUCCUAAUAGAUUGCUAAUGCUUUUCGAGUAAGAAAUUUUUUGUUGAAGUUGUAAUAUAGAGCUUAAGUGCCUUUUAUACAUGAUGAGAUUUGAAACAUCUUGGUCCUCUGCAGUCGAUAAAUUCAUGCAAGAUAUGGAGAAAGAUUGUCAACUGAGUGUCGGGAGUAUUCCCGGCUUGCGCACCCCGACGAUGUUGUCAGUAUCCAUUCGAGAGAAUGAGAGAGUUAGAGAGGAGAGAAAAAGAUUCCU
rnacentral:misc_RNA from 1 species